rnacentral:rRNA from 1 species
CAGCAGCCGCGGUAAUACCAGCGCCACGAGUGGCAGCCGCGUUUAUUGGGCCUAAAGCGUUCGUAGCCGGUUGAGUAAAUCUUCUGUGAAAUUGUUAGGCUUAACCUAACGGCGUGCAGAAGACACUGCUCGACUCGAGACCGGUAGGGGUCAGAAGUAUUCUGGGGGGAGCGGUAGAAUGUUAUAAUCCCCGGAGGACUACCUAUAGCGAAGGCAUCUGACCAGGACGGGUCUGACGGUGAGGGACGAAAGCUAGGGGAGCAAAAGGGAUUAGAUACCCCUGUAGUCCUAGCUGUAAACGCUGUGAGCUAGGUGUUGCAUAUUCCUCGUGAAUAUGCAGUGUCGAAAUGAAGAUGCUAAGCUCACCGCCUGGGAAGUACGGCCGCAAGACUGAAACUUUAAGGAAUUGGCGGGGGCGCACAACAAGGGGUGCAGCGUGCGGUUUAAUCUAACUCAACGCAGAGAACCUUACUAGAAGCGACGGCAGGAUGAAGGCCAGCCUGAAGGGCUUACCUGACGAGCCGAGAGGUGGUGCAUGGCCGUCGUCAGCUCGUGCCGUGAGGUGUCCUCUUAAGUGAGGCAACGAGCGAGAUCUGCACCUACAAUUGCUAACGACCUUUGGGAUCGAGCACAUUGUAGGGACUGCCCGGGAAACUGGGAGGAAGGAGCAGGCAACGGUAGGUCUGUAUGCCCCGAAUCUUCUAGGCUACACGCGCGCAACAAUGGUAUGGACAAUGGGAUGCGACUCCGAAAGGAGAAGCUAAACCUCUAAACCCUAUCCCAGUUCGGAUUGAGGUUUGCAACCCAGCCUCAUGACGACGGAAUCCCUAGUAAUCAGAGUUCAUCAUACUCUGGUGAAUAUGUCCCUGCCCCUUGCACAC